GGCAUUUCGACCUCUAGCCGCAAA
rnacentral:piRNA from 1 species